UACGUAGGCAGCAAGCGUUGUUCGGAGUUACUGGGCGUAAAGGGUGCGUAGGCGGUCCUAUAAGUAUGGUGUGAAAUCUCCCGGCUUAACUGGGAGGGUGCGCUAUAGACUGUGGGGACUGGAGUGUGGGAGAGGAAAGUGGAAUUCCUGGUGUAGCGGUGAAAUGCGUAGAUAUCAGGAGGAACACCGGUGGUGUAAACGGCUUUCUGGACCAUAACUGACGCUGAGGCACGAAAGCGUGGAUAGCAAACAGG
rnacentral:rRNA from 1 species